rnacentral:rRNA from 1 species
AGGACGAACGCUGGCGGCGUGCUUAACACAUGCAAGUCGAGCGGUAAGGCCUUUCGGGGUACACGAGCGGCGAACGGGUGAGUAACACGUGGGCGACCUGCCCUCAGCUCUGGGAUAAGCCUGGGAAACUGGGUCUAAUACCGGAUAUGACCACAUGUCGCAUGGUGUGUGGUGGAAAGUUUGUUCUUAAUUGGACACUUCGGCUGGGGAUGGGCCCGCGGCCUAUCAGCUUGUUGGUGGGGUGAUGGCCUACCAAGGCGACGACGGGUA